AUUGAACGCUGGCGGCAGGCCUAACACAUGCAAGUCGAACGAGUGGCGGACGGGUGAGUAAUGUAUGGGAAACUGCCCGAUGGAGGGGGAUAACUACUGGAAACGGUGGCUAAUACCGCAUACCAUCGGAUGUGCCCAGAUGGGAUUAGCUAGUAGGUGGGGUAACGGCUCACCUAGGCGACGAUCUCUAGCUGGUCUGAGAGGAUGACCAGCCACACUGGGACUGAGACACGGCCCAGACUCCUACGGGAGGCAGCAGUGGGGAAUCUUCGGCAAUGGGGGGAAGCCUGACCGAGCAACGCCGCGUGAAUGAAGAAGGCCUUCGGGUUGUAAAGUACUUUCAGCGGGGAGGCGUUACCCGCAGAAGAAGCACCGGCUAACUCCGUGCCAGCAGCCGCGGUAAUAC
rnacentral:rRNA from 1 species